UGUACCAGGUGUCUUGCCAAAGGCAGCGGUGGGUAACUAUGUGUGGAGGGGAUAAGUGCUGAAAGCAUCUAAGCAUGAAGCCCCCCUCAAGAUGAGAUUUCCCAUUACGCAAGUAAGUAAGAUCCCUCAAAGACGAUGAGGUAGAUAGGUUCGAGGUGGAAGUGUGGUGACACAUGGAGCUGACGAAUACUAAUCGAUCGAGGACUUAACCAAAAA
rnacentral:rRNA from 1 species